GAGGAGAAGGAGGAAGGGCAUAGUUAUUAUCAAUGAUUCUUUUCAGUAAAAGUCCACCCACAUAUAUUACACUGGAAUGGUUUCACUCCCAAGUGACUAAGCAUAUGAUUUUCAAAGCGGCUCUUACGUAAAAAUGCCUUUCCACAAAUCUCACAAGAAGCAGCAUUUCUCUGUAUAUUUCGUGUCUAGGAGAGCAGUAACUUUGAAUAAAAACUGAAGCAGUGUGAAGAACACUUUAGUCAAGGCCAACAAUUACUAUCGUGCUGGUGCAAGUCCAUACUGUAAAGUGGUUGGUGAUUGGAAGAUCAUCCAGCUUGUAAAAGAAGUACUAAAAUCAUGAAAUAUUCCAAUAAAGUUUAACUGCAUAUGCAA